UGUAUGCAAAGUCCCAAUAACAUUCCAAUAAGGGAAGUAGUGCUUUCGUCUCUCCCCUUACUUCCUCUUUCCUGCUGAGCAAGCUAUGUGCGAAGAACUGGGCGAGACGGGAUUCUAGUGUAACCAAAUCAAGCGGUAAGUUUUUUUCGAUUAAAGGCCAAAGCUUUGUCAUCCAAAUAAAACCUCAAAAGCUCUUAGAAACUCACCUGAUUUCACUUUAAAGGUGACCCUGUGUGAUGAUCUGUAUUUCACAGAAAUGCGUUCUAAUGGAUCAGACCUUCUUUUCCGGCAUUGCAAUUAGAAUUGAUAGGUUUAAAAACAAUGACAACAGAUACGAUUUAGCUCAGCUCAAACUAUUGUUAUAUAUUUUAGGGAUGUUUCUAAACCCCCAAAUCAAGUUUUUAAACUCUGGCAUCAUGUAGCUCAGCUCAAACCUCAAAUAGUUGAGGAGAGGUGUGCUAUCCAUGCAAACUAUUUUUGGCCAAUUAAUGAUAAAAUGUCCCAAAACACCCCAUAGACUUACUGUAAACUAAAUGAGGGAUCCGAGCCAUAUCUAGGAUAUUGUGGCUGGGUGUGUUGUACAGGCAAGCAAUUUACUCUGGUAUUUUUACUGAAAAAGCAGAACACUCUACCAGCUUUGGAGUCAAGGAAACUGCAUCUGAGUUUCAUGCCAUUUUGUUUCAACUGACCAAAAAAAGUGUUGCGGGGUUCAAGAAGGUCCAACAAAUUAACCAGUGUUCAGCGUUGAGUUCAUGUUUUAGAGAAAAAUCAUUUCUAACACUUUGAUUUUGAAAUAACAAAUCAAAACUCCUCAUUCAAAAAAUUUUCAUUUAAACCCAUGAACUAAAGUAAACUGCCAAAAAUCAAUGCACACUAUGUUGUUUGGUCAAUCAUUUACGUCGCCCAUAGUCUCAAAAUAGUCUUAUGAUGUGACAUUCCAGCGUAUUUUGACCCCAUUCUUGAUCACUGAGUUUACAGACAGUUCUUCCUCAUGCAACACAAACAAACAACAGAAACCAGGAAGACUUAUACCAGUGUUCACAAACAAAGUACUUUAAACGAUUUAAAAGAUUUCCUCAUUGCUGUUCACUUAGGUCUGAUUAAAAGUAAAUCUGAAUAAAUACAUGUAAGUGUCUGAUUAAAGAAACUUGUAUCAAACCAGAUCACACGACAACUAUUAGUCACAAAAUAAAUCCCACUGAUUCAUUCAAAGGUUGAUCGCAGGUCAAAAUAUUAUCUAAAGUUUUGAGGAUACCAUGCUAAAUUUAAGCACAUAUGCAUACAUCUCAGAGGUUUUGGCUUGGUCAUGUUGUAAAUGUAAAUCACAAAAAAGUGCAAAGAAAUUAUUAGAAGGCCAUAAUAAGUAAUAAUUAAAUGGUCUGCAUUCAAUUUAAUCACUCAAUGAAAUCCUUACUCACACAGCUUAUAGGUCUAAGCAAUUCAGAAAGUAAGUGGCCUUAUCUGUUCAAAACCGCUCCACUCCACUGAGAGGUCAAAACAGACUGUCUUGAAUAAUUUGAUGUCCAAUUUAAUCACAUAAAUGACAGAUUUACCUCAAAGGCAAAGCACAAUAAAUCUGCUCUGGAGUCUACAAAAGCUCUCCAGCUUUUCCGUUAGCACUUAAGAUUUCUUUUAAAUAUCAAUAUAUUUACAGGUUUAAAUGAUAAAUUAAAACUCAAUAUUAUUUUACACAAAACUAUAAAUCUCCACCUGGAAUUUCAAUUUCUAGUUUCAGUAUUGUUUUAGUAUUUAUAAUAAAUAGUACUAACUGAUUAUGCUGUCUAAUAAAAACAUACAAUACACACUGCAUGGCAAUCAUUUAACAGCAAUAAUGAACCUUGACUUAAUGGUAAAACAAGCUGUGGACAUAAAGUCCACUUUAUAUUUAUAUCUGUAAAUUUUUAAUGUAAGAGUGAAAAAACAGCUCGUUUGCUAAUCUCUUAGCCUGGUCAGGCUGGUUUGUUAGCCUGUUAUAGCAAUUUUGGGAGCUCAGAUUAUAUAAGGUAGAUCAGUAAAAACAGUUUACUAGUUUAAGCUCGGUUUUUAAAGCGGUGUUAUACUUCACAGAUGCAAGUAAACAAAGGUGCAUGUAGGUAUUAAGGCAACUUUGAAGCUGCUUAGAAACAAUAUAUAACCUACUGUGAAAAGCGCAAUACAUAUAAAACUGAAUCAAUUUAUUCAUAGUUUCCCAUAAACACAGACUAUUCGCGCAAGUCGUGGAUUCUAGCAAAAGCUCUUAUUAUAAUCAUUAAAGCCUUCUAAAACCGCGCGACUCGGUUGAGUUCUGCUUUUAUCGCGUCGAGAGCCAAAAAAAAACGUGUGUAUUCGCAAGAAGACCUGUAUUUGAUUUCCGCUGGACGUCUCGGAUGAAUCUCACCUGUUCCUCCUCAGAAAAGAGUCGAGUACGCCACUCUGAAGCGGCGCUUGUGCAGGAAAAGAACAGCGUGGACAUUCUACCUCACAUCCCCUUUGGUGUCCCAUUAAAGAAAAAAUGAUUUUAACACGCAAAGCAAUGGCCUCAGAAAGUCAGAAGGGUUAUUCUGAGGUGUGCGCACACUGAGGACCUGAGGGAGAAAUGAGAUUCCCUUCGGAAUGUGCAGUGUACUCGGAUAGCUGUACCAGAUCUGCG